GGCCUUGUGGAAGCACUUUGAAAAGCUUUGUUUGGCAGAAAGCAAUGGACAGGUUUCUACAAGUGCUUCCAGCUUCUGUGGAGGAUGAAAAGCUUUUGGUAGAUGUCCUAAGAUUUUUAAACAAAUUGUUUAGAGAGCAGAAAUCAAAUCUGGAGUCAGACCAUCUAAAGUGGUUCUUGAAAUCAUUGCUUAAAAAUCAACCAAAAUCCCUUAUGGGCCUUCUGGUGCGACCAGAAUCCCAAGGGCAGGAUGAAAUGGAUGAAACACAGGCUGCGGUCAGGCAACGACUGGAUAAAG
rnacentral:lncRNA from 1 species